rnacentral:tRNA from 1 species
GCCACGGUGGUCUAGCGGUUAGAACGCUGGCCUUGUAAUCCUGAGGGUAUCGGGUUCGAUUCCCGGCGGUGCCC